rnacentral:rRNA from 1 species
ACAAGCGAGCGGCGGACGGGUGAGCAACACGUGGGUAACCUGCCCAAGAGACUGGGAUAACACCUGGAAACAGAUGCUAAUACCGGAUAACAACACUAGACGCAUGUCUAGAGUUUGAAAGAUGGUUCUGCUAUCACUCUUGGAUGGACCUGCGGUGCAUUAGCUAGUUGGUAGGGUAACGGCUUACCAAGGCAAUGAUGCAUAGCCGAGUUGAGAGACUGAUCGGCCACAUUGGGACUGAGACACGGCCCAAACUCCUACGGGAGGCAGCAGUAGGGAAUCUUCCACAAUGGACGAAAGUCUGAUGGAGCAACGCCGCGUGAGUGAAGAAGGGUUUCGGCUCGUAAAGCUCUGUUGGUAGUGAAGAAAGAUAGAGGUAGUAACUGGCCUUUAUUUGACGGUAAUUACUUAGAAAGUCACGGCUAACUACGUGCCAGCAGCCGCGGUAAUACGUAGGUGGCAAGCGUUGUCCGGAUUUAUUGGGCGUAAAGCGAGUGCAGGCGGUUCAAUAAGUCUGAUGUGAAAGCCUUCGGCUCAACCGGAGAAUUGCAUCAGAAACUGUUGAACUUGAGUGCAGAAGAGGAGAGUGGAACUCCACGUGUAGCGGUGGAAUGCGUAGAUAUAUGGAAGAACACCAGUGGCGAAGGCGGCUCUCUGGUCUGCAACUGACGCUGAGGCUCGAAAGCAUGGGUAGCGAACAGGAUUAGAUACCCUGGUAGUCCAUGCCGUAAA